UUUUCUGAAGAGAACAGUGAAAGAAAGGGUGAGCUUAACUAGCCCAGUAAAAAAUAUUAUGACUAAGAUAAUGCAGAAUAAAUUAUCAUUAGUCUACAACAAUGUUAAAAUGAUAAAAUACAAUAGACAUCAAGUUUAACUGCAGCAGAACAAGCAAUCCAUUAAAAGAGUCAAAUAGAGAAUAAUAUCUACUAUCUUUUAUGAUUUAAAAGGUUUUUCAUCACUUUUAUCGCUGAGACUCAGCUUAAUAAAUAAUCCACAUCAUCGAAUCACCCCUGCACUACGGCCAAGGAUAUUCUUUAGUAUCACGACCACAAAUUAUCCAUGCACUACGGGCCAAGGAUAUUCGUGUACUCAUCAAUGGUCAUGAUCAUGCCAACAACUGUCCAUCAAUGCACUACGGGCCAAUGAGGAUUUUUUUCACAUUAUUUGUAACAUUACGGUCAUGAUUAUACCGAAUAAUUCC
rnacentral:lncRNA from 1 species